CCUACGGGAGGCAGCAGUGAGGAAUAUUGGUCAUUGGUCGGGAGACUGAACCAGCCAAGCCGCGUGAGGGAUGAAGGUACAGAGUAUCGUAAACCUCUUUUGUCAGGGAACAAAGGCGGGGACGUGUCCCCGGAUGAGUGUACCUGAAGAAAAAGCAUCGGCUAACUCCGUGCCAGCAGCCGCGGUAAUACGGAGGAUGCGAGCGUUAUCCGGAUUUAUUGGGUGUAAAGGGUUCGCAGGCGGUCUGUUAAGUCAGCGGUCAAAGCCCGGGGCUCAACCCCGGCCCGCCGUUGAAACUGGCAGUCGCGAGUUGGAGAGAAGUAUGCGGAAUGCGCGGUGUAGCGGUGAAAUGCAUAGAUAUCGCGCAGAACUCCGAUUGCGAAGGCAGCAUGCCGGCUCCACACUGACGCUGAGGCACGAAAGCGUGGGUAUCGAACAGGAUUAGAUACCCUUGUAGUC
rnacentral:rRNA from 1 species